UUUCCGUAGGUGAACCUGCGGAAGGAUCAUUAUUGAAAUAAACCUGAUGGGUUGUUGCUGGCUCUCUAGGGAGCAUGUGCACGCCUUGUCAUCUUUACAUCUCCACCUGUGCACCUUUUGUAGACCUUUCAGGUCUAUGUUGCUUCAUUUAUACCCCAAUGUAUGUUAAUAGAAUGUUGUGCCUAUAUUAUAAUAUAUACAACUUUCAGCAACGGAUCUCUUGGCUCUC
rnacentral:misc_RNA from 1 species